AUUGACCUCGGAUCAGGUAGGGAUACCCGCUGAACUUAAGCAUAUCAAUAAGCGGAGGAAGGUGAGUUCCGAUUUGGUAGGUGACCUUUGCCGGUUGCAUGCCUUCGUUGCCCGCUAAGCUUCCCAGUAGUCGUUGUGCAGGAAGCCUUUUGGCUUUCGACCUGAGGUCAGGCAAGAACACCCGCUGAACUUAAGCAUAUCAAUAAGCGGAGGAA
rnacentral:rRNA from 1 species